rnacentral:rRNA from 1 species
GAUGAACGCUGGCGGCGUGCCUAACACAUGCAAGUCGAACGGAGUCGUUUUGGAAAUCUCUUCGGAGAUGGAAUUCACGACUUAGUGGCGGACGGGUGAGUAACGCGUGAGCAAUCUGCCUUUAAGAGGGGGAUAACAGUCGGAAACGGCUGCUAAUACCGCAUAAAGCAUUAAAUUCGCAUGUUUUUGAUGCCAAAGGAGCAAUCCGCUUUUAGAUGAGCUCGCGUCUGAUUAGCUAGUUGGCGGGGUAACGGCCCACCAAGGCGACGAUCAGUAGCCGGACUGAGAGGUUGAACGGCCACAUUGGGACUGAGACACGGCCCAGACGCCUACGGGAGGCAGCAGUGGGGAAUAUUGCGCAAUGGGGGAAACCCUGACGCAGCAACGCCGCGUGAUUGAAGAAGGCCUUCGGGUUGUAAAGAUCUUUAAUCAGGGACGAAACAAAUGACGGUACCUGAAGAAUAAGCUCCGGCUAACUACGUG